rnacentral:rRNA from 1 species
CCUACGGGAGGCAGCAGUGGGGAAUAUUGCACAAUGGGCACAAGCCUGAUGCAGCCAUGCCGCGUGUGUGAAGAAGGCCUUCGGGUUGUAAAGCACUUUCAGCGGGGAGGAAGGCGGUGAGGUUAAUAACCUCAUCGAUUGACGUUACCCGCAGAAGAAGCACCGGCUAACUCCGUGCCAGCAGCCGCGGUAAUACGGAGGGUGCAAGCGUUAAUCGGAAUUACUGGGCGGAAAGCGCACGCAGGCGGUCUGUCAAGUCGGAUGUGAAAUCCCCGGGCUCAACCUGGGAACUGCAUUCGAAACUGGCAGGCUAGAGUCUUGUAGAGGGGGGUAGAAUUCCAGGUGUAGCGGUGAAAUGCGUAGAGAUCUGGAGGAAUACCGGUGGCGAAGGCGGCCCCCUGGACAAAGACUGACGCUCAGGUGCGAAAGCGUGGGGAGCAAACAGGAUUAGAUACCCGAGUAGUC